rnacentral:rRNA from 1 species
AACGAACGCUGGCGGCAUGCCUAACACAUGCAAGUCGAACGACGCCUCCGGGCUUGCUGGCGCGCGGGGCCGUAACGCGGGGAAACCUGCCCGUAGGUUCGGAACCACUCACCGAGACAGGUCCUAAUACCGGAGACUGUUUCCGGACCAAGGGUCUAUUGCGUUUGUCUGGGCGCGCGUUGGAUUACCUGGUUGGUAGGGUAAAAGCCUAUCAACGCGACGGUCCAUAGAUGGUGUGAGAGAAAGAGCAGCCACACUUGGGCUGGGACACGGCCCAGACUCCUACGCGAUGCAGCAGUGGGGAAUAUAGGAAAGCGGGGGAAAGGAAGAAGCCGCAAUGCCGCGAGAGUGAUGAAGGGAGUAGGGUUGUAACGCUCUUUUACACGGGACGAUACUGACGGUACCGGGAGAAUAAGCUCCGGCUAACUACGUG